rnacentral:piRNA from 1 species
UACUUUAACUGGAGGACUGCAACGAC